GUCUAUGGCCAUGCCACCCUGAACAAGCCUGAUCCUCUCUGAUCUCGGAAGCUAAGCAGGUCAGGCCUGGUUAGUACUUGGGUGGGAGACCACCUAAGACCAAGUGCUAUAGGAG
rnacentral:rRNA from 1 species